GUGCUCACUUUGACAGCACACAUACUAAAACUGGAACGAUAUAGAGAUUAGCAUGAAUGGCCCCUGUACAAGGAUGACAUGCAAAUUUGUGAUGCAUUCCAUAUAUUU